GGAAGUAGAGCCCAGUGGUAGAGGGCAUGCUUAACAUGCACAAGGUCCUGGGUUCUGUCCCCGGUACUCCCA
rnacentral:tRNA from 1 species